GUUGGAAUCGCUAGUAAUCGCGGAUCAGCAUGCCGCGGUGAAUACGUUCCCGGGCCUUGUACACACCGCCCGUCACACCAUGAGAGUCGGGAACACCCGAAGUCCGUAGCCUAACCGCAAGGGGGGCGCGGCCGAAGGUGGGAUUGGUGACUGGGGUGAAGUCGUAACAAGGUAGC
rnacentral:rRNA from 1 species